GACCAUAGCAAGAGUGAACCACCUGAUCCCUUCCCGAACUCAGAAAGAAGUGAAACCUCUUAGCGCUGAUGGUAGUGUGGGAUUACCCAUGUGAGAGUAAGUCAUCGCCAGCU
rnacentral:rRNA from 1 species